rnacentral:rRNA from 1 species
UACAGAGGGUGCAAGCGUUAAUCGGAAUUACUGGGCGUAAAGCGUGCGUAGACGGUUACAUAAGUCGGGUGUGAAAGCCCCGGGCUCAACCUGGGAAUUGCAUUCGAGACUGCGUAGCUAGGGUACGGUAGAGGGAAGCGGAAUUUCCGGUGUAGCGGUGAAAUGCGUAGAUAUCGGAAGGAACAUCAGUGGCGAAAGCGGCUUCCUGGACCAGUACCGACGUUCAGGCACGAAAGCGUGGGGAGCAAACAGG